GAGACAUAAGCUCAGUGGUUGAGCGCUCGAUUGCAACCUGCUUAGUCAGCAAGCAUCGAGCGGUCACGUGUUCGAUCCACGUAUGUCUCU